rnacentral:rRNA from 1 species
GAUGAACGCUGGCGGCGUGCCUAACACAUGCAAGUCGAACGAAGCACCUUACCUGAUUCUUCGGAUGAAAGUUUUGUGACUGAGUGGCGGACGGGUGAGUAACGCGUGGGUAACCUGCCCUGUACAGGGGGAUAACAGCUGGAAACGGCUGCUAAUACCGCAUAAGCGCACGAGGAGACAUCUCCUUGUGUGAAAAACUCCGGUGGUACAGGAUGGGCCCGCGUCUGAUUAGCUGGUUGGCAGGGUAACGGCCUACCAAGGCAACGAUCAGUAGCCGGUCGGAGAGGAUGAACGGCAACAGUGGAACUGAAACACGGAACAGAAUCAAACGGGAGGGAGCAGGGGCUAAUAGUGCACAACGGUGGAGAGGCUGAAGCAGCAAGGGUGAGGGAGUUCGGAAGUAGUACGGUAGGGAUAGAUCUAUUAAAAUGGAAGAGCAUGGCGGUACCUGACUAGGAAGCACCGGCUAAAUACGUG